rfam:Tupaia chinensis contig1982, whole genome shotgun sequence.
UGGGGUAUAGCUCAUGGGUAGAGCACUUGACUGCAGAUCAAGAGGUCUCUAGUUGAAAUCCAGGUGCCCCCU